GGAGGUUUUGGUGCGACUUGUAGGCGCUGAUAUUUACCCAAACACUAAGGAUGUCAUGCAAUGGCUGGCUGACAGCAAUUUAUUAGAAAUGAUUGUGGAUAAAUUGAGCCCCUCUAGUUCUCCAGAAGUACAUGCUAAUGCAGCAGAGACUCUAUGUACAAUAACCCUAAAUGCACCAUCUCCUCUUGCUACUAAGCUAUCUAGCCCAAGUUUUAUAGCAAGGAUAUUCAGUCAUGCCCUUGAAGACUCACACUCAAAGUCCGCCCUUGUCCAUUCAUUAUCUGUAUGCAUAUCUUUGCUG
rnacentral:misc_RNA from 1 species